UUUGAACAUAGAGUUUCUCCAAUUAAAGUGACAUUUUGAAAAGGGAUUAUUUUUAUUUCAGAGUCGCCACUUGGAAUCGAGUUUUGGUGUUCCAAGUCACCUAAUUUUUACCCCUAAUCAAAAGGAAGUUGACUCUAAUUUUUAAUGGUCUGCGAACUAGAAAUCUGGAUAAGAAAUUCUAUUGACCAAGGGGAAGGUGUAAGGCACCCC
rnacentral:lncRNA from 1 species